UCGGCAACAGCCGGCAAUAUCGGCAUCGGCAAACUGCAGCGGUCCGCUGUCAGGCCAAUGCUGGUGAUUGGCACUGACAUUGAACCUGAUAUAUGAUUUGAUCUUGUUAUGAUAACAUAAAAGAAAAAAACACAUUUGUCGAUUACAAUGUGACAAAUAAUAGAUCAAGUAUAUUUACAAAUAAUACAAUAUUUCUAUUUGAACUCAAAAUAUUAACUUUAUUUUUAAUUUUUAAAUUAAAUAGAUCAAGCACAUUCACUGACCAUUUUGGCUGCACAUAUACAACAGACAGAGAACAUACAGACGGGAUUCGUCACAUCUUACAAUUCAUUCAGCAAAUUACAUGAUAUUGGCAAAAGUUUGGAAUAUCGCGAGCGGUUAUGUUACGUUGGUCCAACGUUUUCACAACAUGUUUCCAAGGGAAGCUACUCUUGUUAUAGAGGGCGCUGUUACUCACGCGCGUCUUUUCAAGCAGACGACGAUCGGGGUGAUGCGGAGGGCUGAGGGAAAAUCUAUUUUGCGAAAAUCAGAUGUUUAGCCAUUGCCUAUUGGCAAACAUGGAUGAGCUGAAUGAACUCUUAGCAGCUUUUCCAAAAUCGAGCAACUGAGAGAGAACUGAAGCUGAGGAGGAAGCCUGCAGCUGGGCUCUUACAAGCCACUGACAAGUACAUGGUGACCUGUGUAAAAGAAUGGCUUCGAGUUCCAGGAGCAAGGCUUAGAAAUGGCAUAAGGAAAACGCGUACUGAAAAACAGAGAUGUAGAUAGAGAAUCUGCAAACAAAAGUGCUGAAUUGCAACGGAACAAAGAAAUCCAAAAUGUUGGUGUUGACAACAUAUUUUUCACAGGGUUAUGACCCUUGUUUUUGAACUUGGUACAUAUUCUGCCAGGUUCUCUUGGACACUACUGAAGUUAAUAAAUGAAACUUUCCGUGCUUACCUAAGGUACAAACUCCAGAAGAUGGUUAUAAGAACUUAUUUUGUAUGGAGUUAUGGCCUUUGCUUCAUGCUAUUUUAACUUGAUGAAAUAUAGGGGGGGGGAGUUUGUCUUGCAAACGAAUUUGAAGCCACAUAAAUGAAAUUUUGCAGGCCAAUAUGAGGGGUAUAUGUUUAGACUGUGUUUUAAAACAGGUUUUGAGAAUAUAUGUUUCACAUCCGCCUUGUUGCAGGUAGUAACACUGUUUUCUUGUAAAUAAUAAUUAAUUAAUAAUAAAGUUUAUUAUUCUA
rnacentral:lncRNA from 1 species